UAAGGAAUAUUGGUCAAUGGACGCAAGUCUGAACCAGCCAUGCCGCGUGAAGGAUGAAGGCCCUCUGGGUUGUAAACUUCUUUUAUCUGGGACGAAAAAAGGGGAUUCUUCCUCACUUGACGGUACCAGAGGAAUAAGCACCGGCUAACUCCGUGCCAGCAGCCGCGGUAAUACGGAGGGUGCAAGCGUUAUCCGGAUUUACUGGGUUUAAAGGGUGCGUAGGUGGGUAGGAAAGUCAGUGGUGAAAUCUUAAAGCUUAACUUGGAAACUGCCAUUGAUACUAUUUAUCUUGAAUUAUCUGGAGGUAAGCGGAAUAUGUCAUGUAGCGGUGAAAUGCUUAGAUAUGACAUAGAACACCCAUUGCGAAGGCAGCUUACUACGGAUAUAUUGACACUGAGGCACGAAAGCGUGGGGAUCAAACA
rnacentral:rRNA from 1 species